UGUCUUGGAGUUGUACAUUCUUUAGCCUUGUAGGAUUAUAUCCAUCCAUGCACAUCUUGCUCACAAGGCUUGCAUGUUAUCUUUCUGUACAUAAAUCAGCUUUGCCUCGGAGCUGUAAUUCUCUUCAUUCCAACAGUUCUCGCAUCAUUGAUUUGAGUGGCAUUCUCCCUCCUGUAUACAUGACUGGUCGGCACACAACAUGCAGUGUGUCUAUUCGUAAGUGGCAAAACAUGUGUAACUCAACUCAUCAGGUAAAGAUGUACACCCUUCGCAAAGGGAAGUUCUACAAUAGGCUGUGGUUAAGUCACUUUACAGUAGGCCGUCCUGGGGCACGCGAAAACCACUGGAUAGGGACAUAAUUCGGCGAGGCUACAGAUGAUUAGACGAAGUCCUGGUGGUACAAGUUUCAGAGAGGUUAAUGAGUAAUGUAAUCUUUAAGAAGGUAUGAG